UACGAAGGGGGGCUAGCGUUGUUCGGAUUUACUGGGCGUAAAGCGCACGUAGGCGGACUAUUAAGUCAGGGGUGAAAUCCCGGGCUUAACCUGGGGGGCUGCAUUUAAUACGUGUGAUCUAGAGUGAGGAAGAGGGUCGUGGAAUUCCCAGUGUAGAGGUGAAAUUCGUAGAUAUUGGGAAGAACACCGGUGGCGAAGGCGGCGACCUGGUCCUUGACUGACGCUGAGGCGCGAAAGCGUGGGGAGCAAACAGG
rnacentral:rRNA from 1 species